rnacentral:rRNA from 1 species
AAACGGGUGGUAAUGCCGGAUGCUCCAGUUGAUCGCAUGGUCUUCUGGGAAAGCUUUCGCGGUAUGGGAUGGGGUCGCGUCCUAUCAGCUUGACGGCGGGGUAACGGCCCACCGUGGCUUCGACGGGUAGCCGGCCUGAGAGGGCGACCGGCCACAUUGGGACUGAGAUACGGCCCAGACUCCUACGGGAGGCAGCAGUGGGGAAUAUUGCACAAUGGGCGCAAGCCUGAUGCAGCGACGCCGCGUGAGGGAUGGAGGCCUUCGGGUUGUAAACCUCUUUUAUCGGGGAGCAAGCGUGAGUGAGUUUACCCGUUGAAUAAGCACCGGCUAACUACGUGCCAGCAGCCGCGGUAAUACGUAGGGUGCAAGCGUUAUCCGGAAUUAUUGGGCGUAAAGGGCUCGUAGGCGGUUCGUCGCGUCCGGUGUGAAAGUCCAUCGCUUAACGGUGGAUCCGCGCCGGGUACGGGCGGGCUUGAGUGCGGUAGGGGAGACUGGAAUUCCCGGUGUAACGGUGGAAUGUGUAGAUAUCGGG